UGACGUGGAUGGUAAAGGUAGAAGGAAAUACAAUAAGACAAUGGCAAGAAUUACACCGAUGUCGAUCCUUUUUUAACGUCACUUUACUUCGUUUAUAUGAACAAGCUCUCUUCAACGGCACUUUCCUGAAUUUGAAUCGAAUGGACGUUUUGUUCUGAUACCGAAAUAAAAUAACCUAUCGUCUUUUUUGGAGUUUUUAAAUCAAUUUUUCACCCAACUCAGUAUGGUUUCAUAAAGGAUAAACUAAACUCCGAUGCUGAUCCUUUAUUCCAUUUUGAGUCAAACAAGGACGUGUAGUUAAACCAGGCUUGUAAGAGUUCCAUUAUCCGUUCAAUUAUCUUUUUUCGUUCAGUGUUCAUGGUUCAGCCUAAUUUUCGUUCUGUUCCGCGUUCCAUUCCGCGUUCCAAUUAUAAGGAAGUACCAGGCUUGUACAGUAUACAUACACACACUAGCGCAUUCCUUAAAUGAAGCUGUACAGUUUUUGAGGGAUAAAAAAGUCGGAUACUCCAAAUGGAAUUGCUAAAUAAAAUUGAAUGUAGCAAACGAGAACUUGUUCAUGUAUGUCUGGGCAUAUAAGCAAGGAAUACUAAAAACAACUGAAAAUGCGUCUUAAAAUCGCGCUCACUUUUUUUCUGCACGAGAAGGCUGACACAUUCUUGGUUUGCUUUGAUGUACAAGUGUUCUGCUCCUGGAUAGAAGCAGGGAUAUGACGGCAUUACUAAGGAUCUGGAUGUGAGCUUUCACAAACUCCCCACGAAGGACUCCAAAAUUCUAACCAAAUGGUUUAGGGCUAUCCAAAGAGAUACGAUUUACUCGACACCAACAGCCCAUUCAAGACUAUGCAGUCUGCAUUUUCAAGUGACUGAUUUUAUUACUGAAUCUUUAGAUCAAUCCUGUGAUAAAGGACAAUCACUCUAACGAAGGCAGUUGAAGAGGAAGCCAUUACUUCAAAGUGGCCGAAUCUGGCAAUCUACCUCUCAUCACCAUCACUAUCUCCAAGAUCAACACAGGCAUCAACUGGCAUCAAUGAAGUGCAUUUGGAGAAUGAAAGACAAGAAGCUCUCGAGCAUGCAACCUGUAUGGAAGAGGCCGUUCUUUCGGCACUAGAUCUCUAUGACAAACUCUCUCUGGAAUCAUUUCCCUCGGGGUUCUUGUUGCUUAAAAUUCCAAAGAUGCACUUGUCAAAAUCAUACAUUCAAAUAUGAAAGAGAUAGCCAUUGAUGUAUGUAAUGGAGGUGGAAGUGUGGAAUAUGUCGUGUUUAUUAGUCUCAUUAUGUAUUAUAUUUUAUGUAUGUAUUUAUUUAUGUCUGUUUAUGAUUUUUUGUUUGUUUAUCGGCGUAUCAAAUGUAUGUAGUACACGUGUAAAUUAUAGAAUAAAGUUAUUGAGCAUUAA
rnacentral:lncRNA from 1 species